GCAACGAAACAAUGUUGCCCGCCAAGUUGAGGGUUUUUGUAUCUCGUAUUUCGCCGUAACUAUCAGCUGCUGGUACACCUCAUGACACAUACACACCCAUGUAGCAUCAUUCCAUAAUAUGGUGGAUAAUAAUAUUACACCACCUUUCGCCGUUCGCGAAAAUGAAUUAAGCGAGAGGAAUUAAAGAAGAGACCGGUACAAUUUUUCCCAGUUUGUGCCAAAGAAGAUUAGACGUAGGGGAUCAAAGAAGACAUCUGAUUGAAGUACUACGGUCACCACCUCGACUGGUCAAGAUGAUAACUUUCGAAAAUCCUUCUUAGCAGGCGUUGCAAACUAGACCAAUUUUAGAUGCUUUGCUGGAUGUUUCUGAUGAUGAAAUCAUAGCAGAUGGUGAAUUACAUUCUGCUUCAUCCACUGAUCCAUGCUCUCUGACAGACCUUGUGCCUGUUACCUCACAGUUUGCAUACAUGUUAGAGCUGUUGAAUGGCAAUGUUUUUACCAUCAUUGGCAGCAAGAUUUCUUUGUUCACUUUUUCCAAUUUUGAUGCAGUUACAAAGAGAUUGCUUGAAGCCAAUUAUGUGAUUGCUGAAAGAGAACCUAGGGAUAACAUUUGGAUCUAUCAUUGUAAAUGUGUUGAAGGCACAAGGCAAAUUGAUUAUUUGUGGUCACUGUCAUCAACAGUCACGGGAGAUACGUCACAACUGUAAGCAUGUAACAAAAGUAGCAGAAUCUGAGGAAACAAUGGUACACGAAAUACCUGAUUUUCUGGUCGAUUUUUUUGCUGAGAGAAAUUUUCGAGAGUCUACUGAAUCAGUUGCAGCAGCCACCACUCGCCUACAACCUCUCCCGUGAUCCUCAGUGGGGCACCUUCAACAGUCAGGCAGCAGAACAACCCAAUUCAUACGUGAAGUCUCUCAAAGGAUCCUUGUCAUACAUGAACGAAAAGAACUUCAUGACUCAUUGUAAAUUUUUCAUUUGGUACCGAAAUUCGAUAGGGCGUAAGCAGCUCGAGUCCCAAAGGUGUAGCAAUGUAAUUUGCGAUAAGUUUUAUAGCUAAAUUUGAGGAACUUUUCUUUUACAAAGAACAAAAAAUCACGAGAUGUUACUAAAAAGUAAGUCCUUAUGUGAAAAUUCGAGAGAAAUAGUUGCAUUUGAUUUCUAGAAACUUUGACUUAAUGUCUUCAAUAUCAACUUCUUUUGAGUAUUAUUCGCCUUGUCUAAAAUAGUAUCAAGAAUAUACCCGAUUCUGCAUUUGCAGUGUUUGCCAAUACUGCUGCGCGCCAUGUAUAAAAGUAGCUCCAUGACUCAGACAAACGUUUUGAGUUGAGCGCCUCGAUUGACAGUGAUUUGACAAAAAUAAAAUGUAGGGUGUAAUACCUUCCAGGAAAAUUUCAGUUUUUUUGUGUGGUCAGGGAUUAUUUGUGACAUCACACGCGCUCUCCGCCAUUAUAAAAUGACAGCGAUCUCAAAAGUCUAAAGUCAUUUAAACUGUCAAGUUUGUAUCUCAACUAAAACCGGAUAAAUAAAUAAAAGAAACAAAGAAGAAACAAAAUAAAAGUCAUCGUGACCACAACCAAACGGUUUCCGCUAGUUUACGACUGCAGACACACUCAGAUGAGCUUCGAAUGAACAUAACUGUUGAUCUUUAGUAUCUAAACUAAAACAAACGGUUUUGGUGGCUAUCCAUUUUUAGUUAUUUUAAACUUUUAAUAACUGGAAUAAAUGAUAGAAAAGAACGCGGUGGUUAAAAUAAAACAGUUUUUGGUGGUUAUACAGUUCUAGUUGGUUGAAACCUUUAAUGACUAGAAUGAAUGAUAGAAAAGAACGCUGUGGUUAAAAUAAAACAGUUUUUGGUGGUUAUACAGUUUUAGUUGGUUGAAACCUUUAAUAACUAGAAUGAAUGAUAGAAAAGAACGCUGUGGUUAAAAUAAAACAGUUUUUGGUGGUUAUACAGUUUUAGUUGGUUGAAACCUUUAAUAACUAGAAUGAAUGAUAGAAAAGAACGCUGUGGUUAAAAUAAAACAGUUUUUGGUGGUUAUACAGUU